UGCCAGCCGCCGCGGUAAUACGGAGGGUGCAAGCGUUGUUCGGAAUCACUGGGCGUAAAGCGUGCGUAGGCCGCCUGGUAAGUCGGAUGUGAAAUCCCGGGGCUUAACUCCGGAACUGCAUCCGAUACUGCCAGGCUUGAGUACGGGAGAGGGAAGCGGAAUUCCUGGUGUAGCGGUGAAAUGCGUAGAUAUCAGGAGGAACACCUGUGGCGAAAGCGGCUUCCUGGCCCGUUACUGACGCUGAGGCACGAAAGCGUGGGGAGCAAACAGGAUUAGAUA
rnacentral:rRNA from 1 species